rnacentral:rRNA from 1 species
AUCUCUUGCAUGGAGCAAGUCUGAUGGAGCAACGCCGCGUGAGUGAAGAAGGGUUUCGGCUCGUAAAGCUCUGUUGUUGGUGAAGAAGGACAGGGGUAGUAACUGACCUUUGUUUGACGGUAAUCAAUUAGAAAGUCACGGCUAACUACGUGCCAGCAGCCGCGGUAAUACA